rnacentral:lncRNA from 1 species
CUAGUUUAAAAAAUGUGUGGCGUGACCUGGUCAACCAACCAAGAUGGCCGCCACGGCUAAAAAUAGAACAAAGGGGUAAAAUGCAGUUUUUGGCUUAUAACUCAAAAACCAAAGCAUUUUGAGGAAAUCUGACGGGAUAAAAAUGUUUAUCAGGUCAAGAUCUAUCUGCCCUAAAAUUUUCAGAUGAAUCAGUCAAUCGGUUGUUGGGUUGCUG